CUACAUGAAGCUGGAAUCGCUAGUAAUCGCGGAUCAGAAUGCCGCGGUGAAUACGUUCCCGGGUCUUGUACACACCGCCCGUCACACCAUGGGAGUCGGAAAUGCCCGAAGUCUGUGACCCAACCGGAAGGAGGGAGCAGCCGAAGGCAGGUCGGAUGACUGGGGUGAAGUCGUAACAAGGUAUC
rnacentral:rRNA from 1 species